UCGAGCGGACAGAAGGGAGCUUGCUCCCGGAUGUUAGCGGCGGACGGGUGAGUAACACGUGGGUAACCUGCCUGUAAGACUGGGAUAACUCCGGGAAACCGGAGCUAAUACCGGAUAGUUCCUUGAACCGCAUGGUUCAAGGAUGAAAGACGGUUUCGGCUGUCACUUACAGAUGGACCCGCGGCGCAUUAGCUAGUUGGUGGGGUAAUGGCUCACCAAGGCGACGAUGCGUAGCCGACCUGAGAGGGUGAUCGGCCACACUGGGACUGAGACACGGCCCAGACUCCUACGGGAGGCAGCAGUAGGGAAUCUUCCGCAAUGGACGAAAGUCUGACGGAGCAACGCCGCGUGAGUGAUGAAGGUUUUCGGAUCGUAAAGCUCUGUUGUUAGGGAAGAACAAGUGCGAGAGUAACUGCUCGCACCUUGACGGUACCUAACCAGAAAGCCACGGCUAACUACGUGCCAGCAGCCGCGGUAAUACGUAGGUGGCAAGCGUUGUCCGGAAUUAUUGGGCGUAAAGGGCUCGCAGGCGGUUUCUUAAGUCUGAUGUGAAAGCCCCCGGCUCAACCGGGGAGGGUCAUUGGAAACUGGGAAACUUGAGUGCAGAAGAGGAGAGUGGAAUUCCACGUGUAGCGGUGAAAUGCGUAGAGAUGUGGAGGAACACCAGUGGCGAAGGCGACUCUCUGGUCUGUAACUGACGCUCAGGAGCGAAAGCGUGGGGAGCGAACAGGAUUAGAUACCCUGGUAGUCCACGCCGUAAACGAUGAGUGCUAAGUGUUAGGGGGUUUCCGCCCCUUAGUGCUGCAGCUAACGCAUUAAGCACUCCGCCUGGGGAGUACGGUCGCAAGACUGAAACUCANAGGAAUUGACGGGGGCCCGCACAAGCGGUGGAGCAUGUGGUUUAAUUCGAAGCAACGCGAAGAACCUUACCAGGUCUUGACAUCCUCUGACAACCCUAGAGAUAGGGCUUUCCCUUCUGGGACAGAGUGACAGGUGNUGCAUGGUUGUCGUCAUCUCNUGUCGUGAGAUGUUGG
rnacentral:rRNA from 1 species